UAGCUCAGCGGUAUAGCGUCUGCCUGGCAAGCAUAAGGUCCUGAGUUUGAUUCCCAG
rnacentral:tRNA from 1 species